rnacentral:rRNA from 1 species
GACGAAGGAUGCAAGCGUUAUCCGGAUUCAUUGGGUUUAAAGGGUGCGUAGGCGGUCGGGUAAGUCUGAUGUGAAAUCUCCAAGCUCAACUUGGAAAUGGCAUCGGAUACUAUUCGGCUCGAGGAAUGGAGGGGAGACUGGAAUACUUGGUGUAGCAGUGAAAUGCGUAGAUAUCAAGUGGAACACCAGUGGCGAAGGCGAGUCUCUGGACAUUUCCUGACGCUGAGGCACGAAAGCCAGGGGAGCAAACGGG